GCUCCAGUGGCGCAAUUGGUUAGUGCACAGUAUUUAUAAUGCUGAGGUUGUGUGAGUUCAAGCCUCACCUGGAGCA